AUGCUCGCUUUGGCAGCACCCACACUGAAAUUGUAAUGAAACAGACAAGAUAAGCACUACCCCUGCACAAGGACAGCAUGCAAAUUUGUAAAGCGUUAUAUAUUUUU